UUCCGGCCCCCGCCCCGUGGCCCUCAGUUUCUGGGUGCCAGUGGAGUUCUCCAGCAUCUGACGACCCAUCUCUUUCGUCUCCUGCCCAUGGGCGCACACCCUGCAGUUAGCAGGGGCCCAGGAGCUCCCUGCAGAUGGGGGAGGGAAGCCCAGUGUAGGUGCCUGGCAGGCUCUGGCAGUUUGGCGGAGCUGACUCGCCUGCUGGGGACCCAGCUCCUCCUCGCCCUGGCCAGACGCCCUGGGGGCUGCACCCCGGGGCUGGCCUGUCUGCAAGUGGGCCUCCCUCUGCAAAAGCAUCAGAACCCCGCCAAGCAAAGCCCGUGGUGGCAAAUGAGAGAACUUUCUAGGCAGGAGGCCGCGACUCCCAGCGUCACCCCCAUGGCCUCGGGCUGUCUCUGCCUUUGGCUUUUGUGACCGGCACAGGCCCACAGCCCCAGGCCUCACUUCACUCCCUCCUUCCCUCAUCCGCUCCUGGCCGGCCCCACCUCAGCUGCAGAGGCCCAGCCACACCCCCACCCCACCCCCAGCUGGGCCCGGCCCCCCCACAGGCGAGGCACCGCCCUCCCCUGCCCAGCGCUGGCCAGCCGCUGUGCUCGGCUGCCCCCUACCCCCCCUUUGUCCCGCCUCGCCCAUCUCCUUGUCUGACUGCUGCUUCACAUCACCUCCAUCGUCCCUUUUCUGAGCUCACUGAGGAGCGACAGUCCACAGCCCCCUUGCUCAGUAAAGGGCCGCUCCUUGCUGGCCGAUUCCUCGGUGGCCCUCAGCCCGACUCGGCAAGAGCCGUGGGGUCCCCCCGCGGGCUCCUGGGGGCCGGGCGUGGGCUCCUCCUACCACCCCUGGCAUGCGCGUGUGCCUACUCCCCUGUAAGUGUCGCCCUGUAGUCAUCUGGGUGCUUGUCAGCCCCCGGCCUCGCCCCCAAGCCUGGGAGAGCGGGCGUGGGGGCCUGGCCCGCUGGCUGCCCCCUGCAGUGUGAGCACAGGCGGCCCAGACGCCCGCUGAGCAGGGUGCGGGCCUCAGAGUGGCUGUCCCGGAGCCGACG